rnacentral:rRNA from 1 species
GACGAACGCUGGCGGCGUGCUUAACACAUGCAAGUCGAACGGAAAGGCCCUGCUUUUGUGGGGUGCUCGAGUGGCGAACGGGUGAGUAACACGUGAGUAACCUGCCCUUGACUUUGGGAUAACUUCAGGAAACUGGGGCUAAUACCGGAUAGGAGCUCCUGCUGCAUGGUGGGGGUUGGAAAGUUUCGGCGGUUGGGGAUGGACUCGCGGCUUAUCAGCUUGUUGGUGGGGUAGUGGCUUACCAAGGCUUUGACGGGUAGCCGGCCUGAGAGGGUGACCGGCCACCUUGGGACUGAGAUACGGCCCAGACUCCUACGGGAGGCAGCGGUGGGGAAUAUUGCACAAUGGGCGGAAGCCUGAUGCAGCAACGCCGCGUGCGGGAUGACGGCCUUCGGGUUGUAAACCGCUUUCGCCUGUGACGAAGCGUGAGUGACGGUAAUGGGUAAAGAAGCACCGGCUAACUACGUG